GGCCGCGGGAAGUCGGUUCAGGCCUAAGACAUGCAAGUCGAGCGGUAGAGAGAAGCUUGCUUCUCUUGAGAACGGCGGACGGGUGAGUAAUGCCUAGGAAUCUGCCUGGUAGUGGGGGAUAACGUUGGGAAACGGACGCGUAAUACGCGCAUACGUCCUACGGGAGAAAGCAGGGGACCUUCGGGCCUUGCGCUAUCAGAUGAGCCUAGGUCGGAUUAGCUAGUUGGUGAGGUAAUGGCUCACCAAGGCGACGAUCCGUAACUGGUCUGAGAGGAUGAUCGGUCACACUGGAACUGAGACGCGGUCCAGACUCCUACGGGAGGCAGCAGUGGGGAAUAUUGGACAAUGGGCGAAAGCCUGAUC
rnacentral:rRNA from 1 species